GCCUGGUUGGCUCAGUGGUUUAGCGCCUGCCUUUGGCUCAGGGUGAGAUCCUGGAGUCGUGGGAUUGAGUCCCGCUUCGGGCU
rnacentral:tRNA from 1 species